rnacentral:rRNA from 1 species
GAUGAACGCUGGCGGCGUGCUUAACACAUGCAAGUCGAACGGAAAGGCCACAGCUUGCUGUGGUACUCGAGUGGCGAACGGGUGAGUAACACGUGGGUGAUCUGCCUUGUACUUCGGGAUAAGCUUGGGAAGCUGGGUCUAAUACCGGAUAGGAAUCACAUGUGGGUGUGUGGUUGGAAAGCUUUUGCGGUAUGGGAUGAGCUCGCGGCCUAUCAGCUUGUUGGUGGGGUAAUGGCCUACCAAGGCGUCGACGGGUAGCCGGCCUGAGAGGGUGUACGGCCACAUUGGGACUGAGAUACGGCCCAGACUCCUACGGGAGGCAGCAGUGGGGAAUAUUGCACAAUGGGCGCAAGCCUGAUGCAGCGACGCCGCGUGGGGGAUGACGGCCUUCGGGUUGUAAACUCCUUUCGUCAGGGACGAAGCGAAAGUGACGGUACCUGGAUAAGAAGCACCGGCUAACUACGUG